GACUACCAGCAUGAACCUCAACACCUUCUUUGCUGUUCCACUAGUGUGACCCAUGAUCGGAUACAAGUUGUCAAGGAUAAACGGUGAGAGAAUCAUGUCAGCCCACAGACAACCGAUUGACCUGUGAGUCUUCAAGCAGUAAUGAUGACUACGCCUGCCUUAAGUUCCAGUUUCCUGAACAUCAUGGCAUGUCUGCAGGAGAUUCGGUCCCCACCUGUCUUCAGUCUGGACCUAAUGACUCAGACACCAGUGUUGUCCAGGCUAAAUCGAGAGAGGAUCACCUGAUGUCAACAUACGAGUUUUCAAGAAGAACUUCCUGAACUUUGUGUCUGUGUGAGACUCUACCAUGCUGGGUGCCCUCUUCAGUCAAGUCUGGACACAGCGACUCAUUGCUCUUAAUCAACUCUGGGCAAGUGGCUAAUCUUUUGCUUAUUCAUGGGAUAUCCUUCAUGUCCACAUCCUGUUUCUUCAAGAUCUCAACAAUGCUUUGUGAGUAUACAACACAUGUGAGUGGAUCAGUUCAACCUGUUUUUCACAGAAUGUUAAUUUCUUAAGGUUUUCAUCAACGAUGGUUUGUAUCUUGUUUUACAAAAGGUGUUAUUAAGAUAUUUCCAUUUGUAAUUUACAAUAAUCAAAUGUUGACUGUAAAAUCUAUGCCAACCUAUUGUUAUACACUGUACCAUGUUUUUGCAAAGGAAUUCUGGUGACUAGUUGCCAGCAACUUCCUUUGAACUUUGUAAUAAAAUACUGUAACUGUAAUAAAGUUUACAGGAUAACUGUUGUUUUUACAAAACUUACUGUCAUGUCUUGUAUGUUCACCGUUAAUUGGAACUUUUCAAUAAAGUACCAUAAUAUAUUAUACAGUU